rnacentral:lncRNA from 1 species
UGUCGUUCUCUUUAGUUUCCCUCAUCUGGGAUGGCUCCUCGGUCUGUCUUUUGUAACCUUGGCAUUUGGAGGAGGACAGGCCAGUUAUUGAGUCAAUUCUGUGACCCUCUGACGUGAACCGUCUUUGACAGCUUCCUUGCUUUCUGGCACAACAAGGUGCCAAAUUCAUUUGUACAUUUCCUGUUCCCAGUCUUAAUCGGCCAUUUCUCGAAGAUCCCUGGUUUCCUUCAGUGGGAAAUGAUAUUUAGAGAGAAGAGCUGAAUUCCAAUGAUGCUGCUGUUGACUGGGACGAGAGAGACCUGUUUGUUGAAAUGGAGUGUUCUACUGGCAAGCGGUUACAUAAAGGACAACGUGGGCACAAAGGACCCAGGUGGAGAACCUGAACUAACCCUUCUUUGGGUCUGAUUUGGGUAGCGCCCCCGUCUUUGUUUGCUGCGUCGGGAGCUGGUGCAUGCCAAGCCUCGCCCUGCGGUUGCCCACGGCACCCGUUUCUGUCUAUAUUAACUUGACUUUGCUGUGCCUCCGUUUGCAUUAGCAUCUCUUUACUCUUCCUGCAUUGUGUUUGUGAUUUUUUUUUUUGACAUCGAAAAAAAAUAGUUCGUCAGAAUUUGUUUCCCAAACCUUUACUUUACUUCCAAGUUUCACGGAGAAGUUUGAAAUGUUUGAGAGACGUUGUCCUGGAGAAAAGACCAGAAAAGCGGGAGAGCGAUGGAUGUGUUUCUAUAAUGACCACAAGACACUCGUCGUACAGCAAUUCAGGGCUCCAGGAACAACGCAGAGAAACACAUGUGCUUUUCACCACCUGUGCUGUGUUUAGCACACCCACCUGGCUAUUCGGCAAACCCCGUGAAAGGAAAUUAGCACCAUCCUCAACCUUCUGGAGCCUCCACGGUCCCCUCCUGGCUGUGGGGGCCAGGCCCCUAUUCAACACCCAGACUGAGCCCUUAAAACCCUCUCCAGCUGAAGCCUUCCUGUGGCUUCUCAGCACACUCAGAAUAGACCGAAGGUCCUCACCCAGACUUACAAGGCCACGGGCUCUGGUUUUCCACAGUGAGGGCAAAUACAAGUGAGAAAUAAGAGGCUUAAUUCCCCUGUUGAAAAUAAAGGACGAGACUUCCCUCCCCUUCCCUUUUCUAAGAGCAUUUGCUUUAGAAAAUGUCUACAUUUUCUCAGUCUCUUUGAGAUGUAUGUGAAUCUUGUUAACGCUAAAGAAUCGUCUUGCCAGAAUGUCUUUCUCAAGGACUCAGGAAGCACCUCUUUGAAAUGUCACCAUCAAGGAUGAUAAGUGCCCCUGUCUCCCAGCCUCUCUGGGGGUGAAGUUAGAAUGGACUCUGUGUGGCAAAUGGUGCUGUCGAGUCCCCUUACUUGAGGACCACUCGUUAUUUAUCUUGCGAACGUGUUUGAAAUGAGUUGUAUCCGCUGGGCUGCGUAAAAGGGCGAGAGUUCUUCCUGUCUGCAGGCUCUUGGUGGCUUGCCUGUGGUGCACCCUGAAUUCUGGCUUAGUGCUUAUUCAUUAGCAAAAUUGUUUUCUUUCUCUUCUACCUAUGUAGAGAGGUUUUUUGGGUCGGAAGAAGAUUUUCUUUUAAUGCUAUUUCUCCAAAGCUAGCUACCCCUCCACCCUCCUUGUUCGCUCAGCUCCAGCCACACGGGCUUCUGUAUUCGUCUUAAAAAGCGUUAAGCAUGCACCUCACUCGGGGCCUUGCGUUUCUUGUUCCUUAGGCUUAGCCUUGUCUCUGCCCGCGUAUUCCUUGUGGCUCGCUUGCUUCUUCCACCCGGUCCCUCCUCAGAGAGGCCGUCCCUGACCACAGCUCUCCGUCCUCUUCAUGUUUCCUCCUGGCACAGUCACUGUUUACUUGAUUCUAGUCCGUCUCUCCUCUAGCAGCUCGCCUCGUGUGGGCAGCACGUGGCCUGUGUGCUCAUCACUGUGUCUGCAGCCCCAACUGUGCCUGGUGUUGGAGAAACAAAAUUAAAAAUGUCUCCUGCCAACCCAGAACGCCUUUCCACAAAGGUGCCUUCCAUAUACCAAUUAUUAACAUUGCAGGUGGACUAUAGUACGAUUUGGCCAUUAAUUCUUGAGCCUUCCUCUCUGGGUACUGGUGGAAAUCUGAGCCAGAUGUGGCCAGGGUGGAGUUUUCCUGCCUGAAUCUCAUCCUCAGCCUUCCUAGGGCUGCCUUGUAUGUGUCGACGUCCCGCGUUAUCCUGUGGGCCUCACUGGCCACGUCGAGAACACGGCAUGGGACACCUUCUUGUACUCAGCUGCUCACAUCCUCUUCCUGUGUAUCUCCAGUGGCCCCAAAUGUCUUCUUUGAGACAAGCACACACCCGUUUACAGUUCCUACUCCAGGAGGCCAGCAUGUAGUAAUCUCUCCAUAAAUGUAAAAUAAACAAAUUCACC